GAUACCGUCGUAGUCUUAACCAUAAACUAUGCCGACUAGAGAUUGGAGGUUGUUCCUUACUCAG
rnacentral:rRNA from 1 species